CUGUCAAUCUGUGACAGAAUCUAGAUGAAAUCCAAUCAUACAUCCUCGUGUAAAGAUCUACGGAGCAAGACUAUGUAACAACUGACUAGGUAGCUCAAGAUUUCGUUGACGUGGUUUGUUUCUUACAGCUUCCUUUUGAAUUUUAUCAGCCUUGUCUUUUUUUUUUGCAUAUAGGGUUCGUUUGAAAAAGCUCAGUGCUGUUGCUAAUAAUUUUGCUGUCCUUCUGUUUCAAUGCUUGUUUGAAGAUUUGCUUCAGUUUUACAUAGAGCCUCAGUGCUAUAAUAAUAUUAUAUUCAAAAAUAUUCAAGGGAUACUCAAGUGUACAUAGCGUAUUCUCUCACCCAUAAAAGUGAAUAUUUCCGAUGGUGGCGUUUCCCGUCUAAUAUUCUACCCACAUCAUCCCUUUCUGUUUUAUUUCAUUUGGCUGUGACAUUUUUAGAGUAUAUACAGCAAGAGAGGAAAGUACCAAUAAGGACGAAGCUGAUCUGGAUGGGCUUGAAAGACAACAAUCAUCAGUUUUUUGAGUACCUUCUCUCCUUUACUUUUCCACAGCAUAUGGAUAUCAAUCUAUUUACUUUGUGGGCGGAGGAGAGGAGACACUGAUUGAGGACACACGACAGAGCAACCUGGAUCUGUUCCUCAAUCACACUUUACAGACUCGGCUGCGUUACAAAUUUAUAGAGUGGCUUCUCUGUUGUUGAAUUUUCAGAUUUUGCUUGGUCUAACAGGACCAAGCCACAGCGAUUGUAGCUGAGCUUUGUGACAUUUGUAGAGAGGUUCCUGAUGAAGUCAAGAAGCUGUGCAUGCUGCUCCAAAUGACAGAGAUGUCGUUAUAUUUAGAACUCUGUGUUGUACACAGGUUUGUAGGAUCAAUCCAGUUUUUGUCCGUGUGGAUAACUUCUCAAAAGACUUAAAAAAAAGCUAGUGAAAGGUAACAAUCAAUUUUGUUCAAAAAAAAAGAAAAAGGUAACAAUCAAUUAAGUUGACGAUAACAGAAAUGCACGAUCAACUUAGUUAUAAGAUGAAAAAAAUGGUUUGGGGUAACAUUUGGUUGUUUCUAUGGAGCAGCUUCAGGGGUGCAUGCGUACAUGGAAACGUCUAUGGAUUCAUUGAAGAAAAUAGCUCUGUUUCUCUAUCCUAGAUUUGCUAUAGCCUAUAGGUACGAGAUUCUCUACAUUGAGAAUGUGUCGUUUGUUCUUCACAAUAACCAAUCAACCAAUCCCCGUGAGACAGAAUCUGGUCUCGAGUUCACGUGCCUACUAGACAGACUCAUGCGAUAAUAUACAGCUUCAGAUACAUUUUUUUGGUUUGUAACGCACUGAAAUUUUCAGCAUUAGUUUGUAAAAAACUGUAAUUAGUCGUAGUAAACUACUGUGAAACGUUUAAGAAAUUGUAAUUAACACUUUUCCAGUAAAAAAAAAAACUGAAUUAAGGCCCCUAAUUUAAGAGGUCUAUA